rnacentral:snoRNA from 1 species
ACGUGCCACCUUUAUAGUUGGUUGCUAAAGAAGUUUCUCUGAUUGAGUAGAAUACCAGAGAACAUGAGAAGGUGGCAUAGUGUUCCUUUCUGAUUGCCAAACCAGCUCUUGUUGUUAUUUUGCUGAAACUGCGUCCUGCUAUUGAUGAUCAUUUUUAUUUUCUCUUUGAAGGAAGUAAUAGGGAAGGAAUGCAGUCUGGGUAGA